AAGUCGUAACAAGGUUUCCGUAGGUGAACCUGCGGAAGGAUCAUUAAUGAAUUUUAGGACGUUCUUUUUAGAAGUCCGACCCUUUCAUUUUCUUACACUGUGCACACACUUCUUUUUUACACACACUUUUAACACAUUAGUAUAAGAAUGUAAUAGUCUCUUAAUUGAGCAUAAACAAAAAUAAAACUUUCAGCAACGGAUCUCUUGGCUCUC
rnacentral:misc_RNA from 1 species